UACAGAGGGUGCGAGCGUUGUCCGGAAUCACUGGGCGUAAAGGGCGCGUAGGCGGACAGUUUAGUCAGAGGUGAAAGCCCAGGGCUCAACCUUGGAAUUGCCUUUGAUACUGGCUGUCUUGAGUUCGGGAGAGGUGAGUGGAAUGCCGAGUGUAGAGGUGAAAUUCGUAGAUAUUCGCAAGAACACCAGUGGCGAAGGCGGCUCACUGGCCCGAUACUGACGCUGAGGCACGAAAGCGUGGGGAGCAAACAGG
rnacentral:rRNA from 1 species